rnacentral:rRNA from 1 species
GUUCCUUGGAAAAGGACAGCUGAGAGGGUGAGACUCCCGUCCGCCUGCCGAAGUGAGUCAUGUGUCAACGAGUCGAGUUGUUUGGGAUUGCAGCUCUAAUUGGGUGGUAAAUUCCAUCUAAAGCUAAAUAUUGGUGGGAGACCGAUAGCGUACAAGUACCGUGAGGGAAAGAUGCAAAGAACUUUGAAAAGAGAGUUAAAGAGUACCUGAAAUUGCUGAAACGGAAGCGAAGGAAACCAGUGUUUGUUGGUUCAUAUUUCCCUGGCCACUUGUGGUUUGGGCGCUGUGAGCUUGCGUGGGUUUGCUUUGGUUGAUCCCUUUGGAAGAGCGCAGUCAGAGUUGAUGUCU